GGGAAUUUUGGACAAUGGGCGAAAGCCUGAUCCAGCCAUGCCGCGUGCAGGAUGAAGGCCUUCGGGUUGUAAACUGCUUUUGUACGGAACGAAAAGUCUCUUUCUAAUAAAGAGGGAUCAUGACGGUACCGUAAGAAUAAGCACCGGCUAACUACGUUCCAGCAGCCGCGGUAAUACGUAGGGUGCAAGCGUUAAUCGGAAUUACUGGGCGUAAAGCGUGCGCAGGCGGUUAUGUAAGACAGUUGUGAAAUCCCCGGGCUCAACCUGGGAACUGCAUCUGUGACUGCAUAGCUAGAGUACGGUAGAGGGGGAUGGAAUUCCGCGUGUAGCAGUGAAAUGCGUAGAUAUGCGGAGGAACACCGAUGGCGAAGGCAAUCCCCUGGACCUGUACUGACGCUCAUGCACGAAAGCGUGGGGAGCAAACAGG
rnacentral:rRNA from 1 species